CUUCGUGCGCUCCACGUUCUCGGAGUAGCUCGUCAAAGUGGCUAUGAUGCCGCUGUCCCUGCUCUCCAGGGUGGAUGUGGGGCUGGUGACGGCCCCGUAGCUGCAGUCCUUGGCGGGGACGCUGGUGCUGACGGGUGGCAGCGUGGAGCAGGGGCUGCUGGCGGGCGGUGAGGCCGUGCUGCUGGUCAGCGUGGAGCAGGGGCUGAUGCGCUGCGUCACGGCCGAGCUCUGGUUCUCGUCCUGCACCUCCAUGCUGUACUGGGGCCCUGGCUGUACCUCCGUGACUUUCUCCCCCAGGAGGAAGCCCAGGCGAGUCAUGAGUGUAUUUGCUGCCUCAUCUACGGAUGGAGGGGGUCCCAGCUCCUGCUCAGCG
rnacentral:lncRNA from 1 species